UCAGCAUCUUGGCCUUUUUGGCUGUGAUCAAGUAUAGCAGCAAGCAUUUUUGUCCUCAAGGGAAGGGUCAGAGCUGGCUCUGGCCCUCCAAGUGCCACCCUGGUAUUGCAGUGCCUCCAGGCCCAGUAUCAGUUCC
rfam:Alligator sinensis unplaced genomic scaffold scaffold444_1, whole genome shotgun sequence